GACGAACGCUGGCGGCGUGCUUAACACAUGCAAGUCGAACGAAGAGCGAUGGAGGCUUGCUUCUAUCAAUCUUAGUGGCGAACGGGUGAGUAACGCGUAAUCAACCUGCCCUUCAGAGGGGGACAACAGUUGGAAACGACUGCUAAUACCGCAUACGAUCUGACCUCGGCAUCGAGGAUAGAUGAAAGGUGGCCUCUACAUGUAAGCUAUCACUGAAGGAGGGGAUUGCGUCUGAUUAGCUAGUUGGAGGGGUAACGGCCCACCAAGGCGAUGAUCAGUAGCCGGUCUGAGAGGAUGAACGGCCACAUUGGGACUGAGACACGGCCCAGACUCCUACGGGAGGCAGCAGUGGGGAAUCUUCCGCAAUGGACGAAAGUCUGACGGAGCAACGCCGCGUGAGUGAUGACGGCCUUCGGGUUGUAAAGCUCUGUUAAUCGGGACGAAAGGCCUUUUUGCGAAUAGUGAGAAGGAUUGACGGUACCGGAAUAGAAAGCCACGGCUAACUACGU
rnacentral:rRNA from 1 species